AACGAACGCUGGCGGUAUGCCUAACACAUGCAAGUCGAACGAGACCUUCGGGUCUAGUGGCGCAUGGGUGCGUAACGCGUGGGAACCUGCCCUUAGGUUCGGAAUAACUCCCCGAAAGGGGUGCUAAUACCGGAUAAUGUCUUCGGACCAAAGAUUUAUCGCCUUUGGAUGGGCCCGCGUUGGAUUAGCUAGUUGGUAGGGUAAAAGCCUACCAAGGCGACGAUCCAUAGCUGGUCUGAGAGGAUGAUCAGCCACACUGGGACUGAGACACGGCCCAGACUCCUACGGGAGGCAGCAGUGGGGAAUAUUGGACAAUGGGCGAAAGCCUGAUCCAGCAAUGCCGCGUGAGUGAUGAAGGCCUUAGGGUUGUAAAGCUCUUUUACCCGGGAUGAUAAUGACAGUACCGGGAGAAUAAGCUCCGGCUAACUCCGUG
rnacentral:rRNA from 1 species